UCCCUGGUGGUCUGGUGGUUAGGAUUUAGCGCUUUCACUGCCAGGGCCUGGGUUCAAUCCCUGGUUGGGGAA
rfam:Ovis aries breed Texel chromosome 1, whole genome shotgun sequence.